UUUCAGUGCUGCUGACCCCCACAUCUCAUUCUGAAUGGAGCCAUCUACCCCUCCACGGCUGUCAGAAGGGCGGCUUCUUGUACUCCGUUUAAAGAAAACAGGCCCUUGAGAGUCCGCAUUGUCUUAAACCCUGUUCAAGCCUGCGCGUUUAUUGCAAUGCAUUGCUGAUGAGCACGGUGGAGUUGCAGGCAGAGCGACUCCAUCUCGCUCAGUAACACCAGACUCAACUGCCCCCAGCCAUCCUGCUCUGAGCUUGAACAGGCAGAACCACACAGUUGUCCUAAGGAGAAGAGGAGCUCGGGGGGGCAGUACGCAGCAUGUUACUGGAGGGUUAUGACGAGUCAGGUUCAGACGAGAUAAAAUGUGCAG